rnacentral:rRNA from 1 species
GAUUGAGUUUGAUCCUGGCUCAGAUUGAACGCUGGCGGCAUGCUUUACACAUGCAAGUCGAACGGUAACAGGCCGCAAGGUGCUGACGAGUGGCGAACGGGUGAGUAAUGCAUCGGAACGUGCCCAGUCGUGGGGGAUAACGCAGCGAAAGCUGCGCUAAUACCGCAUACGAUCUAUGGAUGAAAGCGGGGGACCGUAAGGCCUCGCGCGAUUGGAGCGGCCGAUGUCAGAUUAGGUAGUUGGUGGGGUAAAGGCUCACCAAGCCGACGAUCUGUAGCUGGUCUGAGAGGACGACCAGCCACACUGGGACUGAGACACGGCCCAGACUCCUACGGGAGGCAGCAGUGGGGAAUUUUGGACAAUGGGCGCAAGCCUUAUCCAGCAAUGCCGCGUGCAGGAAGAAGGCCUUCGGGUUGUAAACUGCUUUUGUACGGAACGAAACGGCUCUGGUUAAUACCUGGGGCUAAUGACGGUACCGUAAGAAUAAGCACCGGCUAACUACGUGCCUGCAGCCGCGGUAAUACGUAGGGUGCAAGCGUUAAUCGGAAUUACUGGGCGUAAAGCGUGCGCAGGCGGUUUUGUAAGACAGACGUGAAAUCCCCGGGCUCAACCUGGGAAUGGCGUUUGUGACUGCAAAGCUGGAGUGCGGCAGAGGGGGAUGGAAUUCCGCGUGUAGCAGUGAAAUGCGUAGAUAUGCGGA